CUCACCCCGCGUAACCCCACCCUUUUCUUUUCUGAAUCGGGACAUACUGCCAACACCCUCUUGACCAAGCGUAGUCGGAGGAUAAAAUGAAAUGACAAAGAGAUGGAGGACCUCUUAAAAUCCCGCGAAUUCCUCCAGCAGCAAAUCGCCACCACGGAAGCUCAGCUCUCCCAACUCAAUGCUGCGCUCGAGCGGACUGAGCGGCAGAUCGCGGUGGGGAGGCCAACAACAGCAACAACGACCACAAACCAGCCGGAAACUGUGAACAAGGGAGAAGCGCCAUCUGAACGGAAUCGCAGAUAUCCGCUCGAACAGGAUGAGUAUCGACGCUAUGGACGGCAGAUGAUUGUGGACCAGAUCGGGCUGGACGGGCAAUUAAAACUGCGCGAAUCCUCGGUUCUCAUUGUUGGCGCGGGGGGGUUGGGAUGCCCUGCUGCCAUGUAUCUGGCUGGAGCUGGGGUUGGAACCAUAGGAAUCAUAGAUGGAGAUACGGUCGAGGAAUCGAACCUGCAUCGACAGGUGUUGCAUCGGACGAGGAAUGUGGGGAAGUUCAAGGUUGAUAGCGCGAUUCAGUAUUUGAAAGAAUUGAACCCGUAUCCCAAAUACAUCCCCUACCGCGUCAACCUUACCCCCGCCGAUGCGCCUUCGAUCUUCAGUCCCUACGAUCUCAUCCUCGACUGCACAGACAACCCCGCAACCCGCUACCUGAUCUCCGACACCGCUGUCGUCCUAGGCAAACCACUCGUCUCCGCCUCCGCGCUUCGCACCGAGGGCCAGCUAAUGGUCCUCAACUACCCUCCCCAAAAGCCAGCAGACCAACUAUCCGCCUUGCCAACCGAAACCACCACCGGAGGACCGUGCUACCGCUGUGUGUUCCCUAAACCCCCUCCCGCCGCGAGCGUCACGAGCUGCGCCGACGGCGGCAUCCUCGGCCCCGUCGUCGGAGUCAUGGGCGUCCUCCAAGCGCUCGAGGCGAUCCGCGUCCUCACGCAGACAACGUCAGCCACGUCCACAACAAUAUCACCAACCCUUCAUCUCUUCUCGGCCUUCUCUAGCCCUCCAUUCCGCAGUAUACGGCUGCGCCAACGGCGACAGGACUGCGCCGCUUGCUCGCCGACGGCGCGGACGAUAAC
rnacentral:sRNA from 1 species